AAAAAAUACAAGGAAUGUGAACGAAUCAGAUAUACUUCCGGCCCAGACAAAUUUUGUUCCGCGAACGGUGAUGAAAAACACUCAACUUGCCGAGAUAGGAAAUGUACUCAUAUAUCUUACUACGGUUCGACAAAAUGUAAUUCACAAGUGGAAUUGUUCAAACCUUUUCAACACUACGGUGUUGAGUGCAAAAAGCCAAAUGUACUUUGCCACGGUGGCAAAAGUAACAAUGGACGAGAGAACGUCUUGUAUCCAGAUCCGUACAGAUCACACGAUUUAAUUGAUGAGGCUUGCAAAUGUCAAACUAUCUGGUGCUUGGAUGAAAUUAUGACAAUUUACGAAAAAGAAGGCAAAUUGUUCAAAGGAAACGUCACAGUGAAGACUCCGUGCAAAUGUGAAUGCAGAAAGAGAUUUAUUAUGAUGGGACCUUAUGGUAGAGGCAAAUAAUAUUUUUUAUAUACAGAUAUUCGAUCCUUAUCAAACAAAUUUAUCUGCCUUUCAUUGCAUUGGACAUACGUAAAAUAUAUGGA